CCCACGUCCCACACCCAGACACAGACACUGUCCGCACAAAGGCCCCACCCGCCAAUGCUCGGUCUCGCACACACACUUCUGAGUGGCCAGUCUAGACUCCUGGCCUCCUCUUGUUUCCUUUUGGAAAACCUUCAGCUUUUCCAUUUUAAUCAGGCAGUGAGACAACAGUCUAUUUCUGUCACUUCUGAGUGUUGGCCAAAGAUUGUUCUUUUGAAAUACCCACAGCCUCACUUCGUCGUAGUCCCAGCUGUCUGGAAUUCACUGACGAUUUGUCUCCUGAGCCCUGGGAUCACAGGUGUACAUCGCCUGGUCUGUUUUUAUGUGGUGUUUGGCAUCAAACCCAGGAAUACAAGCAUGCAAAACAAGAACUCUGCUAAUUGAGCAUGCUUACACCCUGAGACUGCUCCCUUCUGGAACUUCCACUGAGAGGAGCCAAGCCCUCCUAACUGAGCACUGAGGGUUCCAGGACCCGAGGCUCACUGGACCGGGUACAUCUGUCUCCCCAGCAAGACUACUGGAU